GACGAACGCUGGCGGCGUGCCUAAUACAUGCAAGUCGAACGAAGCUGUUUUAACUGGUGCUUGCACCGACUUAAUCAACUGAGUGGCGAACGGGUGAGUAACACGUGGGUAACCUGCCCCAAAGCGGGGGAUAACAUUUGGAAACAGAUGCUAAUACCGCAUAACCACAGAAACCACAUGGUUUCUGUGUCAAAGAUGGUUUCGGCUAUCACUUUGGGAUGGACCCGCGGCGUAUUAGCUAGUUGGUAAGGUAAUGGCUUACCAAGGCAAUGAUACGUAGCCGAACUGAGAGGUUGAUCGGCCACAUUGGGACUGAGACACGGCCCAAACUCCUACGGGAGGCAGCAGUAGGGAAUCUUCCACAAUGGACGAAAGUCUGAUGGAGCAACGCCGCGUGAGUGAAGAAGGUUUUCGGAUCGUAAAACUCCGUUGUCAGAGAAGAACGUGUGCGAGAGUAACUGCUCGUGCAGUGACGGUAUCUGGCCAGAAAGCCACGGCUAACUACGUGCCAGCCGCCGCGGUAA
rnacentral:rRNA from 1 species